rnacentral:rRNA from 1 species
GACAGAGGUCUCAAGCGUUGUUCGGAUUCAUUGGGCGUAAAGGGUGCGUAGGUGGCGCUGUAAGUCGGGUGUGAAAUUUCGGAGCUUAACUCCGAAACUGCAUUCGAUACUGCGGUGCUUGAGGACUGGAGAGGAGACUGGAAUUCAUGGUGUAGCAGUGAAAUGCGUAGAGAUCAUGAGGAAGACCAGUGGCGAAGGCGGGUCUCUGGACAGUUCCUGACACUGAGGCACGAAGGCCAGGGGAGCAAACGGG